rnacentral:rRNA from 1 species
AGUGAACGCUGGCGGUAGGCCUAACACAUGCAGGUCGAACGGCAGCACAGUAAGAGCUUGCUCUUACGGGUGGCGAGUGGCGGACGGGUGAGGAAUACAUCGGAAUCUACUUUUUCGUGGGGGAUAACGUAGGGAAACUUACGCUAAUACCGCAUACGACCUACGGGUGAAAGCAGGGGAUCUUCGGACCUUGCGCGAUUGAAUGAGCCGAUGUCGGAUUAGCUAGUUGGCGGGGUAAAGGCCCACCAAGGCGACGAUCCGUAGCUGGUCUGAGAGGACGAUCAGCCACACUGGAACUGAGACACGGUCCAGACUCCUACGGGAGGCAGCAGUGGGGAAUAUUGGACAAUGGGCGCAAGCCUGAUCCAGCCAUGCCGCGUGGGUGAAGAAGGCCUUCGGGUUGUAAAGCCCUUUUGUUGGGGAAGAAAAGCAGCAGGUUAAUACCCCGCUGUUCUGACGGUACCCAAAGAAUAAGCACCGGCUAACUUCGUG